UACGUAGGGGGCAAGCGUUGUCCGGAAUCAUUGGGCGUAAAGAGCGCGUAGGCGGCCCGUUAAGUCGGAUGUGAAAACCCGUGGCUCAACCACGGGCCUGCAUCCGAUACUGGCGGGCUCGAGGCAGGCAGGGGAGAUCGGAAUUCCUGGUGUAGCGGUGAAAUGCGCAGAUAUCAGGAGGAACACCGGUGGCGAAGGCGGAUCUCUGGGCCUGUCCUGACGCUCGAGGCGCGGAAAGCUAGGGGAGCAAACAGG
rnacentral:rRNA from 1 species